GGACGGAUAGUUCAGUUGGUAGAACGCUUGACUUACAUUCAAGAGGUUCACAGGUUCGAGCCCUGUUCCGUCCA
rnacentral:tRNA from 1 species